UACGACCACAACACAUUGAAACUCUGGUUCCCAUACGAUCACUGAAGUUAAGCAAAGUUGAGCCUGGUCAGUACCUAGAUGGGUGACUGCUUGGGAAAACCGG